AAUUCAUCAGGAAGAUUGUGUACUUCCAUUAGCCUCGACAGCUGGUUCCGCUGACGCCUGGAUGUCAUAAAAAGUGUUGUUAGAGUGAUACAUUUCUCAUGGAGAGUGCAUGGGUACAUGGAAGAAAUACUGCUGUGAACCAGGAAUUUCCUCUGCCUUCUACCAGCCAGUCCCUUUUGCUGACAGACGCUGUAGAGGGUCCUUUGUGGAGUGGAGACCAUUAGAGCAGGACUCUGUGCAGGAUCCAAAAAAUGUUAUCCGUACUUCCUACAAGGGACUUUAUUGAAGCAGAUGACAUCUUUCAAACCAGAAGAAGCAUUUUAAGUUCAAGUGCUACAUUUUGGUCUGAGGCAGGUGAUUACUUUUAUAAAUCAGCUGUAAAAGGUAAUCCUGAAAGCUCUCCAUAAAUAAUAACCAGGACUGAAAAUUUCUGUGUAGUGUGUGUGUAUAAUGGGA
rnacentral:lncRNA from 1 species